rnacentral:rRNA from 1 species
GAUGAACGCUGGCGGCGUGCCUAAUACAUGCAAGUCGAGCGAACAGACGAGGAGCUUGCUCCUCUGACGUUAGCGGCGGACGGGUGAGUAACACGUGGAUAACCUACCUAUAAGACUGGGAUAACUUCGGGAAACCGGAUCUAAUACCGGAUAAUAUAUUGAACCGCAUGGUUCAAUAGUGAAAGACGGUUUUGCUGUCACUUAUAGAUGGAUCCGCGCCGCAUUAGCUAGUUGGUAAGGUAACGGCUUAGCAAGGCGACGAUGCGUAGCCGACCUGAGAGGGUGAUAGGCCACACUGGAACUGAGACGCGGUCCAGACUCCUACGGGAGGCAGCAGUAGGGAAUCUUCCGCAAUGGGCGAAAGCCUGACGGAGCAACGCCGCGUGAGUGAUGAAGGUCUUCCGAUCGUAAAACUCUGUUAUUAGGGAAGAACAAAUGUGUAAGUAACUAUGCACGUCUUGACGGUACCUAAUCAGAAAGCCACGGCUAACUACGUG